GUGAAGCGGCAACAGCUCAAAUUUGAAAUCUGGCUCUCGGGCCCGAGUUGUAAUUUGUAGAGGAUGCUUUUGAUGCGGUGCCUUCCGAGUUCCCUGGAACGGGACGCCAUAGAGGGUGAGAGCCCCGUCUGGUUGGAUGCCAAAUCUCUGUAAAGCUCCUUCGACGAGUCGAGUAGUUUGGGAAUGCUGCUCUAAAUGGGAGGUAUAUGUCUUCUAAAGCUAAAUACCGGCCAGAGACCGAUAGCGCACAAGUAGAGUGAUCGAAAGAUGAAAAGCACUUUGAAAAGAGAGUUAAAAAGUACGUGAAAUUGUUGAAAGGGAAGCGUUUAUGACCAGACUUGGGCUUGGUUAAUCAUCUGGGGUUCUCCCCAGUGCACUUUUCCAGUCCAGGCCAGCAUCAGUUUUCGCCGGGGGAUAAAGGCUUCGGGAAUGUGGCUCUCUCCGGGGAGUGUUAUAGCCCGUUGCGUAAUACCCUGGCGGGGACUGAGGUUCGCGCAUCUGCAAGGAUGCUGGCGUAAUGGUCAUCAACGACCCGUCUUGAAACACGGACCAAGGAGUCGUCUUCGUAUGCGAGUGUUCGGGUGUCAAACCCCUACGCGUAAUGAAAGUGAACGCUGGUGAGAGCUUCGGCGCAUCAUCGACCGAUCCUUAUGUUUUCGGAUGGAUUUGAGUAAGAGCAUACGGGGCCGGACCCGAAAGAAGGUGAACUAUGCCUGUGUAGGGUGAAGCCAGAGGAAACUCUGGUGGAGGCUCGCAGCGGUUCUGACGUGCAAAUCGAUCGUCAAA
rnacentral:misc_RNA from 1 species